ACUAACAAGGAUUCCCCUAGUAACUGCGAGUGAAGCGGGAAAAGCUCAAAUUUAAAAUCUGGCGGUCUCUGGCCGUCCGAGUUGUAGUCUGGAGAAGUGCUUUCCGCGCUGGACCGUGUAUAAGUCUCUUGGAACAGAGCGUCAUAGAGGGUGAGAAUCCCGUCUUUGACACGGACUACCAGUGCUUUGUGAUGCGCUCUCAAAGAGUCGAGUUGUUUGGGAAUGCAGCUCAAAAYGGGUGGUGAAUUCCAUCUAAAGCUAAAUAUUGGCGAGAGACCGAUAGCGAACAAGUACCGUGAGGGAAAGAUGAAAAGCACUUUGGAAAGAGAGUUAAACAGUACGUGAAAUUGCUGAAAGGGAAACGCUUGAAGUCAGUCGCGUUGUCCGGAACUCAGCCUUGCUUUUGCUUGGUGCACUUUCCGGAUGASGGGUCAGCNUCNNUUUUNACCGUCGGAAAAGGGCUGGARNAAUGKGGCACCUCCGGGUGUGUUAUAGACUCUGGUCGCAUACGGCGGUUGGGAUCGAGGAACGCAGCGCGCCGCAAGGCAGGGGUUCGCCCACUUUCGCGCUUAGGAUGCUGGCAUAAUGGCUUUAAACGACCCGUCUUGAAACACGGACCAAGGAGUCUAACAUACCUGCAAGUGUUUGGGUGGUAAACCCGAGCGCGUAAUGAAAGUGAAAGUUGAGAUCCCUGUCGUGGGGAGCAUCGACGCCCGGACCAGACGUUCUCUGACGGAUCCGCGGUAGAGCAUGUAUGUUGGGACCCGAAAGAUGGUGAACUAUGCCUGAAUAGGGUGAAGCCAGAGGAAACUCUGGUGGAGGCUCGUAGCGAUUCUGACGUGCAAAUCGAUCGUCAAAUUUGGGUAUAGGGGCGAAAGACUAAUCGAACCAUCU
rnacentral:rRNA from 1 species